rnacentral:tRNA from 7 species
CCUCGUUUAGCUCAGUUGGUAGAGCGCCUUAAUCCUUUUAAGGGGUCGCAGGUUCAAGUCCAGCAACGAGGC